rnacentral:rRNA from 1 species
UACGGAGGGUGCAAGCGUUAUCCGGAAUUAUUGGGCGUAAAGAGCUCGUAGGCGGUUUGUCGCGUCUGCUGUGAAAGCCCGGGGCUUAACCCCGGAUCUGCGGUGGGUACGGGCAGACUAGAGUGCAGUAGGGGAGACUGGAAUUCCUGGUGUAGCGGUGAAAUGCGCAGAUAUCAGGAGGAACACCGAUGGCGAAGGCAGGUCUCUGGGCUGUAACUGACGCUGAGGAGCGAAAGCAUGGGGAGCAAACAGG